CUCAGGGAAGCACCAGACUGGUCAAAAUGCACAAGAACAGCUUUUGAAAACAAGGUCUUUGUUGCUGCUUGGCAUCAUCAAAUCACAUCAGGAAUGUGGACCAUCAUUCCCAUGGCUGUCACCUAACUGGUGAAAGGGAAAUGCUGAAUGAAAUGAAUAUAGAGGAGAACUGAAAGGCCAUGGAGGAUCUGAGCCACUACAUGGAAAGAGCAAGGGUCCAUGAAUGACAGCUUGAAACAGGGUCCCUCUCUGCUGCCAACCUGCAUGGAUGGAGACAUGAAUAAGAAAUAAGCACUACUGAGUCAAGACAGAGAGAUCUGAAGGUUGAUUGUUAUAGCAGUUGGACUUCCCUAUUAUCUAAUAUACUGUGCUAUCUUCCAAUGCUUAGCUAGUAAGGGGGGCUCUAGGGAUACCAGUUAAAGAACUCUGGAAUGCAUCCCUUGCAAGUCUGAGAUAUGAAAGGCCACAAUUAGGUCAUGUUAAGAAAUCUAAAGCUGACUGUAGACUGAAGUCUGGCUUCAGUAAAUAUGAAAGAGAAAAGAAGAGCUGACUAACUGCUUUGAAUUAGAGCCAGGAGAGACUGUUGCAUUGCUACUGACCUGCAGUUAGAAAGUUCAUCAGGGCAAGGAGCCAGUGAUUGUUUCCCAGGGAACAUGUGUGGGCCAAUGAUACAGAGCUCACUGGAGUCUUGGUUGGUUUUGUCCAGUAGGUCUGCCUGGAGGGAGAAGGAAAACUUACAAAAGGAGACUGGGGGUAUACUUGUGUGUGAAGGCCCAGAUAAUGAGGACAGAUCCCCAGAGACCUCCUAGAAUAGCUAGAAAAGCCUGGGGUCAAAGAAGCUGCAGGGGAGGAGUGUCCAACAUGAAACCUCUGAGGAGUUCAGGGAAACACCCCAAGAGAAAGGAAGUCAGCUUUAAUCUUCGGCAGGGCCUAGAGAGUGAGAAGUCAAUCAGGAAUAAUAAAUGACCCAUCUCCUUGUCCCCUGUACCCUUUGAACCAGAGGGGAGCAAAACAGAAGCUAGCUAAUGAAAGAUGUGUUAUAGAAUUCAGGGUAACUGAGGUUAUGCUGCAGAAGCAAAUAACAAAAAGAUCUCGAGGACUUCUUGUUUAAGUUCUUUUUUUCUUCACAUACAUUUAUUUUCUGUUCACACUACAGUAUGUUAUCAGUUAGCAUGGGUCUCUGUUCAGCAUAGUUCAGGCAGGCACACAGGCCAAUAGAGGUUCUGUCUUGAUACAUAUUUCCAAAAGACAUUGUCAUUGCAUAAGCACAGCAUUGGAACACUGUGUGACUGUCCUAUGGACCUCAACUGUCCCAUUUUUAACCACUGUGUGACUGUCCUGUGGACCUCAACUGUCCCAUUUUUAAAAUGGGAAUUCAUGAAAUGAGGCAGAAAAAAGGAACAACACAUAUCGACAUUUCUCAAUUUUUUAAAAAGAAAUUAUGUGUGUGUUCAUCUAUCCCAGA
rnacentral:lncRNA from 10 species